ensembl:snRNA U6 U6 spliceosomal RNA
GUGCUUGCUUCAGCAGCACAUAUGCUAAAAUUGAAACGAUACAGAGAAGAUUAGCAUGGCCCCUGCUCAAGGAUGACAUGCAAAUUCAUGAAGCGUUCCGUAUUUUU